AACCCUAGGGGGCUCCUAAGGUAACAGCCGCAUAACCUGCCCUCUAGACCUUGAACCACCCAAAACCGCCGGCCAACCUAACACCCUAAGAAUUUCAGCCACCUCUGCCAUUAGUAAAAGACGUACACAAAAAGGAGGAGGAGGUACACGCACAGAGAUGAAGAGAGGGAGGGAACGGACAGUGAGACAGUUUCCUGGUCACCCUUCCAGCUGCUUUAGACUUCUUGAUCUCUAAUCUUGUCAUUCUCUAACUUCUUAUGCUUCACAACCAAGAAAAUGAGAGUGAAAGAGGGAGGACGAUUUUCAGUCCAAGGAACAAAAAAGAAAAAACAAAAAAAGUGAGGGGAAAACAGAGCGAAGGCGGACGAACUCCGAUUGAAUUUGUCUCCGGUGUGAGGUUUUGUUUGAGGUUCCAUUGCGUUCGUGUCCCCGUUAGCUUCUUUGGUCGUUGCUCAAUUAAAGGUAUGGAGCAAUUUGCUAAUGUUUGAACAUGACAAAAUACCCCAAGACCAUUCUAGUCAGGACCAUUGCAUGCACGAACUGUUUGAGGAAACUUUUUAUUUUUUUUAGUCUAUUUAUGUUGUCUUUUAAUUAUUAGUCUUGUACAGUAGUAUCGAGUCUGUCAGUCUAGUUAAGAUUUUCUAGUCUUUUGUUAUCAUACUUCCUAUGAUGUAUUUGAAAACCAAAAAAAAGGUUAUAAAUGAAAAAUUUAAAAAGAUUUUUGUUUUUA